AGCGAACGCUGGCGGCAGGCCUAACACAUGCAAGUCGAACGAACUCUUCGGAGUUAGUGGCGGACGGGUGAGUAACACGUGGGAACGUGCCUUUAGGUUCGGAAUAACUCAGGGAAACUUGUGCUAAUACCGAAUGUGCCCUUCGGGGGAAAGAUUUAUCGCCUUUAGAGCGGCCCGCGUCUGAUUAGCUAGUUGGUGGGGUAAUGGCCCACCAAGGCUACGAUCAGUAGCUGGUCUGAGAGGAUGACCAGCCACAUUGGGACUGAGACACGGCCCAAACUCCUACGGGAGGCAGCAGUGGGGAAUCUUGCGCAAUGGGCGAAAGCCUGACGCAGCCAUGCCGCGUGGAUGAUGAAGGUCUUAGGAUUGUAAAAUCCUUUCACCGGUGAAGAUAAUGACUGUAGCCGGAGAAGAAGCCCCGGCUAACUUCGUGCCAGCAGCCGCGGUAAUACGAAGGGGGCUAGCGUUGCUCGGAAUUACUGGGCGUAAAGGGAGCGUAGGCGGACAUUUAAGUCAGGGGUGAAAUCCCGAGGCUCAACCUCGGAACUGCCUUUGAUACUGGAUGUCUUGAGUGUGAGAGAGGUAUGUGGAACUCCGAGU
rnacentral:rRNA from 1 species